rnacentral:rRNA from 1 species
UACGUAGGGGGCAAGCGUUGCUCGGAAUCACUGGGCGUAAAGCGCACGUAGGCGGAUCUUUAAGUCAGGGGUGAAAUCCUGGAGCUCAACUCCAGAACUGCCUUUGAUACUGAGGAUCUCGAGUCCGGGAGAGGUGAGUGGAACUGCGAGUGUAGAGGUGAAAUUCGUAGAUAUUCGCAAGAACACCAGUGGCGAAGGCGGCUCACUGGCCCGGUACUGACGCUGAGGUGCGAAAGCGUGGGGAGCAAACAGG